GCGCUCGUAGCUCAGUUGGAUAGAGCGCUGGUUUCCUAAACCAGAGGUCGCAGGUUCGAGUCCUGCCGGGCGUA
rnacentral:tRNA from 1 species